CCUACGGGUGGCAGCAGUGAGGAAUAUUGGUCAAUGGACGAGAGUCUGAACCAGCCAAGCAGCGUGAAGGAUGAAUGCCCUAUGGGUUGUAAACUUCUUUUGUAUGGGAAUAAAAUGUUGCACGUGUGGGUUUUUGUAUGUACCAUAUGAAUAAGGAUCGGCUAACUCCGUGCCAGCAGCCGCGGUAAUACGGAGGAUCCGAGCGUUAUCCGGAUUUAUUGGGUUUAAAGGGUGCGUAGGUGGAUUGUUAAGUCAGUUGUGAAAGUUUGCGGCUCAACCGUAGAAUGGCAGUUGAAACUGGCAGUCUUGAGUACAGUAGAGGUGGGCGGAAUGCGCGGUGUAGCGGUGAAAUGCUUAGAUAUCGCGAAGAACUCCGAUUGCGAAGGCAGCUCACUGGACUGCAACUGACACUGAGGCUCGAAAGUGUGGGUAUCAAACAGGAUUAGAUACCCGAGUAGUC
rnacentral:rRNA from 1 species